rnacentral:rRNA from 1 species
GAUGAACGCUGGCGGCGUGCCUAAUACAUGCAAGUCGAGCGAAGAGGGGACGGGUGAGUAACACGUGGAUAACCUCCUAUAAGACUGGGAUAACCUCGGGAAACCGGAAAUAAACCGGAUACUUUUCGAUGGAUGCGCGCUGCAUUAGCUAGUUGGUAAGGUAACGGCUCACAAAGGCAACGAUGCAUCGCCGACCUGAGAGGAUGAUCGGCCACACUGGAACUGAGACACGGUCCAGACUCCUACGGGAGGCAGCAGUAGGGAAUCUUCCGCAAUGGGCGAAAGCCUGACGGAGCAACGCCGCGUGAGUGAUGAAGGUCUUCGGAUUGUAAAACUCUGUUAGUAGGGAAGCGGUACCUACUGAGAAAGCAACGGCUAACUCCGUGCCAGCAGCCGCGGUAAUAC